ACUGCUCAGUAACACGUGGAUAACCUGCCCUUGGGUUCGGGAUAACCCCGGGAAACUGGGACUAAUACCGGAUAGAUCAAAGAUACUGGAAUGUUCUCUGGUCCAAAACUCCGGUGCCCAAGGAUGGGUCUGCGGCCUAUCAGGUUGUAGUGGGUGUAACGUACCUACUAGCCUACGACGGGUAAGGGUUGUGAGAGCAAGAUCCCUGAGAUGGAUUCUGAGACAUGAAUCCAGGCCCUACGGGGUGCAGCAGGCGCGAAACCUUUACACUGCGGGAAACCGCGAUAAGGGGACCCCGAGUGCCAGCACCUAGUGCUGGCUGUCCAGCUGUCCAAAUAACAGUUGUUAGCAAGGGCCGGGCAAGACCGGUGCCAGCCGCCGCGGUAACACCGGCGGCCCGAGUGGUAGCCGCUAUUAUUGGGUUUAAAGGGCCCGUAGCCGGCCUAUUAAGUCUCUUGGGAAAUCUGGCGGCUUAAUCGUCAGGCGUCCAAGAGAUACUGGUAGGCUUGGGACCGGGAGAGGUGGGAGGUACUCCAGGGGUAGGGGUGAAAUCUCGUAAUCCUUGGGGGACCACCGAUGGCGAAGGCAUCCCACCAGAACGGGUCCGACGGUGAGGGACGAAAGCUGGGGGCACGAACCGGAUUAGAUACCCGGGUAGUCCCAGCUGUAAACGAUGCUCGCUAGGUGUCAGGUGCGGUGCGACCGCAUCUGGUGCCGCAGUGAAAACUUGAAGCGAGUCACCUGGGAAGUACGGUCGCAAGGCUGAAACUUAAAGGAAUUGGCGGGGGAGCAC
rnacentral:rRNA from 1 species